rnacentral:rRNA from 1 species
GAUGAACGCUGGCGGCGUGUCUAAGGCAUGCAAGUCGAACGGACUGUUAUUUGUAGCAAUACUUAGAACAGUUAGUGGCAAACGGGUGCGUAACACAUUGGUAACCUGCCUCAAAGUCGGGCAUAAUCCCGCGAAAGUGGGACUAAUUCCACGAUGGUCAUCGAAGGUGAGAUUCCUUCGAUGUAAAGUCGCAAGACGCUUUGAGAGGGGCCUAUGGCCUAUCAGCUUGUUGGUGAGGUAACGGCUCACCAAGGCUAUGACGGGUAGGGGGUGUGAGAGCACGACCCCCCUCACUGGGACUGAGACACUGCCCAGACACCUACGGGUGGCUGCAGUCGAGAAUAUUCCCCAAUGGCCGAAAGGCUGAGGGAGCGACGCCGCGUGCA